rnacentral:rRNA from 1 species
AUACGUAGGGAGCGAGCGUUGUCCGGAAUUACUGGGUGUAAAGGGAGCGUAGGCGGGAUGGCAAGUCAGAUGUGAAAACUAUGGGCUCAACCCAUAGUCUGCAUUUGAAACUGUUGUUUUUGAGUGAGGUAGAGGUAAGCGGAAUUCCUGGGGUAGCGGUGAAAUGCGUAGAUAUCAGGAGGAACAUCGGUGGAGAAGGCGGCUUACUGGGCUUUUACUGACGCUGAGGCUCGAAAGCGUGGGGAGCAAACAGGAUUAGAUACCCUGGUAGUCCACGCUGUAAACGAUGAUUACUAGGUGUGGGGGGACUGACCCCUUCCGUGCCGCAGUUAACACAAUAAGUAAUCCACCUGGGGAGUACGGCCGCAGGGUUGAAACUCAAAUGAAUUGACGGGG